CCUCUCCUGGAGCUCUGGGGAAGAUGGGAAAAAAGACACUCGCUUGCUUUUAAUACCACAGGGGCAGCCACGAUCCUGCAAAACCGGUGACUGAAAUGUCAGGAAUGUCUCCAAAAUCAAACAAUACCAGAGCCCACCUCCUGCUCUGUUUCCAAGGGAAAGCUCUUUCUAAAAAAGACUGCCAGCCUUGCUCAACUGUUUGAAGAAUGAUCCCAGUUUCUUACCUUCAAAUUAAGUUGCAAAUUCUUCCAGGAUAGCAAGAGAUGAAGGGGAUCUUAAGAGAGAAAUCACUGAUUUUGUGCACAGGCCGGUGAUACUCAAGCAGGGAGGAGCUGAUGAUGGACUGGAACUCAUUAGCAAGAAAAUCCUCAGGUGCCUCAUAAAGCCUCUCCUCUGAGUCUGCUGAAGUGAUAACAUCACUGGAAGAGAUUUUUCUGACUAGGAAUGGCCAACCAGGGACUAUUGGUUUGAUUAGAUUGCACUGAAGCUUCACAUCACACCUGAAAUACAGACUGUGGAGCCAACAGAAGKUUGUGAGGAGACCAAGACAGGAGAUUGUGGUGCAGCUUGGCUUCUGCCCAGCAUCAGAGGCAGGUGAAGGUGAGCCACAAGCUGAAAAUGGACAGUGUAGUUUCUGGAGAGACAUGAGGGAUUUGCUGUGAGCAAGGCUGGGGAGCCCAAAAUGAUGCAGAGCAACUGAAAAAAGGAGAGUUUAAAGUAGGUCUGGGGUAAGUAACCAGGAUAGCAUUGCCUCUUCCCCUCCAGAGGGAAGGAAAGCUGGUCAGCAUGCAAACACAAAGCUUGGUAGCCAUGUGGAGAGGGGUUACUGCCUUUGUUUGCCUCCACGAGCACAGAAAUGCUGCAGGAAAACUUUUAUAUUGAGGGCUGUUGAUCCAUUCUUCUUGGAGUACCCAGAUUUCAUG